rnacentral:rRNA from 1 species
AUGCAAGUCGAACGGUAACAGGAAGCAGCUUGCUGCUUCGCUGACGAGUGGCGGACGGGUGAGUAAUGUCUGGGAAACUGCCUGAUGGAGGGGGAUAACUACUGGAAACGGUAGCUAAUACCGCAUAACGUCGCAAGACCAAAGAGGGGGACCUUAGGGCCUCUUGCCAUCGGAUGUGCCCAGAUGGGAUUAGCUAGUAGGUGGGGUAACGGCUCACCUAGGCGACGAUCCCUAGCUGGUCUGAGAGGAUGACCAGCCACACUGGAACUGAGACGCGGUCCAGACUCCUACGGGAGGCAGCAGCGGGGAAUAUUGCACAAUGGGCGCAAGCCUGAUGCAGCCAUACCGCGUGUAUGAAGAAGGCCUUCGGGUUGUAAAGUACUUUCAGCGGGGAGGAAGGGAGUAAAGUUAAUACCUUUGCUCAUUGACGUUACCCGCAGAAGAAGCACCGGCUAACUCCGUGCCAGCAGCCGCGGUAAUACGGAGGGUGCAAGCGUUAAUCGGAAUUACUGGGCGUAAAGCGCACGCAGGCGGUUUGUUAAGUCAGAUGUGAAAUCCCCGGGCUCAACCUGGGAACUGCAUCUGAUACUGGCAAGCUUGAGUC